GACAGAGGGGGCAAGCGUUGCUCGGAAUUACUGGGCGUAAAGGGCGCGUAGGCGGGAUGGCAAGUCGGUCGUGAAAGCCUUCGGCUCAACCGAAGAACGUCGGCCGAUACUGCCGUUCUUGAGGGAUGCAGAGGAGACUGGAAUUCCCGGUGUAGCGGUGAAAUGCGUAGAUAUCGGGAGGAACAUCAGUGGCGAAGGCGGCUACCUGGACCAACACUGACACUGAGGCACGAAAGCGUGGGUAGCAAACAGG
rnacentral:rRNA from 1 species